rnacentral:rRNA from 1 species
CUACAAAGGAAGUUGACGGGGCCCGCACAAGCGGUGGAGCAUGUGGUUUAAUUCGACGCAACGCGAAGAACCUUACCAGGGCUUGACAUCCCCUGACCGCGUAUGAAAGUACGUUUUCACCCUCGGGUGACAGGGAGACAGGUGGUGCAUGGUUGUCGUCAGCUCGUGUCGUGAGAUGUUGGGUUAAGUCCCGCAACGAGCGCAACCCCUACGUUUAGUUGCUAACGCGUGAAGGCGAGCACUCUAGACGAACUGCCGUUGACAAAACGGAGGAAGGUGGGAUGACGUCAAAUCAUCAUGCCCCUUAUGUUCUGGGCUACACACGUGCUACAAUGGCCGGUACAGACGGACGCAAAGCCGCGAGGUGGAGCAAAUCCUAAAAAGCCGGUCUCAGUUCGGAUUGCAGGCUGCAAUUCGCCUGCAUGAAGUCGGAAUCGCUAGUAAUCGCAGGUCAGCAUACUGCGGUGAAUACGUUCCCGGGCCUU